rnacentral:rRNA from 1 species
UCCAGACUCCUACGGGAGGCAGCAGUGGGGAAUAUUGCACAAUGGGGGGAACCCUGAUGCAGCGACGCCGCGUGGGUGAAGGAGCACCUCGGUGCGUAAAGCCCUAUCGGCAGGGAAGAAAAGCGAACAGGUUCGCCUGGACGGUACCUGUCGAAUAAGCCCCGGCUAACUACGUGCCAGCAGCCGCGGUAAUACGUAGGGGGCAAGCGUUAUCCGGAUUUACUGGGGGUGAAGGGGGCGCCGACGGCGAUGCAAGCCAGGAGUGAAAGCCCGGGGCCCAACCCCGGGACUGCUCUUGGAACUGCGUGGCUGGAGUGCAGGAGGGGCAGGCGGAAUUCCUGGUGUAGCGGUGAAAUGCGUAGAUAUCAGGAGGAACACCGGUGGCGAAGGCGGCCUGCUGGACUGCAACUGACGCUGAGGCGCGAAAGCGUGGGGAGCAAACAGGAUUAGAUACCCGAGUACGC